GAUCCUGGCUCAGGAUGAACGCUAGCGGCAGGCCUAACACAUGCAAGUCGAGGGGCAGCACGGUGUAGCAAUACACUGGUGGCGACCGGCGCACGGGUGCGUAACGCGUAUGCAACCUACCCAUAACAGGGGGAUAACACUGAGAAAUUGGUACUAAUACCCCAUAACAUCAGGACCGGCAUCGGUUCUGGUUGAAAACUCCGGUGGUUAUGGAUGUGNAUGUCGGUUUGUUAUUAGUCGUUGGGUUUGGG
rnacentral:rRNA from 1 species